UACGUAGGGUGCAAGCGUUGUCCGGAAUUAUUGGGCGUAAAGAGCUCGUAGGCGGUCUGUCGCGUCGAAUGUGAAAAUCCGGGGGCUCAACCCCCGGACCUGCAUUCGAUACGGGCAGACUAGAGUUCGGUAGGGGAGUCUGGAAUUCCUGGUGUAGCGGUGAAAUGCGCAGAUAUCAGGAGGAACACCGGUGGCGAAGGCGGGACUCUGGGCCGAUACUGACGCUGAGGAGCGAAAGCGUGGGGAGCAAACAGG
rnacentral:rRNA from 1 species